UGUAGUUUGUGCAGAUAUGCACCCAGGUACAGGUAUGGAAGAUGGAGAAAGGUCUAGAAGUCCUUCUCUAUAACUACCUCUGCUGUAUUUCCUUGAGACUGGUUCUAUCAUUGGAUCUGAAGCUCACCAGUUUGGUUCUGCUGACCUGUCAGUGAGCUCCAUGGAUCUGCCUGCCACCUUUCCCCCAGGGAUGGGGUUACAGGCAUGUACAACCAUGACAAAUGUUAACAUGGAUGCCAGGGAUUCAAACCCAGAUCCUCAUGCUUGUGAAGCAAGUGCUCUUACCUAUGGAAUUGUUUUCCCAGCUAGCAAACAGUAACACUUCUCACAAAAGGUACAUUUAGCUCAGAGGUAUAUUUGGGGGACUUUGAGAUUCAUGGCAAGUUGACAUGGUAGUCACAGUCUGAAGGCUGUGUGUGAGUGUCCACCCUCUCUGAAGUCUGCAGUGUGCAGCUGUACCAGGUGUUGGAGGAGGUGGAAUGUUCUUUAAGCACUUAUUUUAGUUAACAUGACAAAACCAGCAUCUAUGGCAGAUUCAGUAAAGCAGAUGGUGAAAUGGGAACUUACGUGUGAGUGAUUUAUUGACAAAGUGCUUCCUGAAGAAAAGAGGAAGGGGUGGGGAUGCCAGGGCUGAAAGGAGGAAGUGCCAAGCAAGAGAGGCUUCAGACAAAGAGCUCUUUCCACUCUACUUCAGCAACUGUCCAGAUGAGAAGAGUGGGAGGUGAGACGCGUCAGAAAGAAAGACCAAAGCCAGGGAAGAUGGGGACGGCGGAUCGUUGGGUAUUUGUGAGAAUCCUGGUUGAGUUCUCGAGAGGUCGGCACAGAGGUACAUUCGGAGGUUUUCUUGUCCCAGCAUCUUGAUGAGCCACAGAUCGACCUGCCUGGGGGACCACAGAUACAUCGCAGUGGAAGGAAAAGAUGCAAACCACCGACUCCAUCCUCAACUUCGUGCUCCAGUUGCUGCCAUCACAAAGCUCCUUCAUGUGCCACUGUGCCCGCAGCACACGCCUUUCCAUCAGACAGCCGCUGCCAAAGACGAUCAAGGGGAGGUGGCUCGGCCGUCUACCUGAACUGAUUCACUCCCGGUUCAGUGAGAGAGCAGAAAGUCACUGAGGAGCAAAGCCAACAUCAACCUCGGAUCACACACACACACACACAC